rnacentral:lncRNA from 1 species
CUCCCACGACAUGUGGAGCCGAAACAGGAGCAGCGCUGCCACAGAGCCCCAGCCCUACAAUCGGGGAGGAGCAGUGCUGUCAGAUGGGAAUAAACGCAAGCCACGAUGUGACUUCAGAUAUUCCGGCAGCCACAUUAAGAGAGGAAAAUUCAUUGGGCAGAACACAGGCAAAGAAUAUGGACAUGAGAGAAAAGCUAUUGCUAAGGGACAUCCUGGAAGCCAAAGUCACAAAAUUGGUGGGCACAGGUCAAGCAUUUAAGAGCCAUUAGGGUGCUCGCCACCUCAAGAAGACUCUCAUGAUAGGAUAAGUUGGACAUGGAACGAUUAGAUGGAAACCAGGUCACUCACCAACCUCAAGAAAACUUCCGUGCAACAAGGGAUGGACAUUGUGUCUCACUGGGGAACGUCUCCUCUGGCUGAUAUUGUAAAACAGAAGGCACAUAAGCCUGCCCUUCAGGCAAUGUUAAUUAAACAUGUUAAAGGGGGUCAGCAGGGUUGCCUGAGCCCACAGAGUGUGAGGUAGUAACUGGAGGCUGAUAUUCCGGAGCUAAUAAGAAGGAUAAUGGAAGCACCCCCACAAG